UUAAAUAUAGAAGGGCGUACGGUGGAUGCCUAGGCACUAAGAGCUGAUGAAGGACGCGACUAACAGCGAAAUGCUUCGGGGAGUGGUACGUACACAAAGAUCCGGAGAUAUCCGAAUGGGGCAACCCAAUGCUGGUAAUGCAGCAUUACACACAAGUGAAUAAAUAGCUUGUGAUGAGGCAACCUUGCGAAUUGAAACAUCUUAGUAGCAAGAGGAAAAGAAAGAAAAAUCGAUUCCCUGAGUAGCGGCGAGCGAAACGGGAAGAGCCCAAACCGACCUUAGGGUCGGGGUAGUAGGACCACGAUAUGGGAUUAAAGAAGACUAGUUGAAUGGCAUUGAAAGGCCAGCCGAAGAAGGUGCAAGCCCUGUAAACGAAAGUUUGAUUUACCCUAGUGGUAUCCUGAGUACGGCGAGGCACGAGAAACCUUGUCGGAAUCAUCCAGGACCACCUGGAAAGGCUAAAUACUCCUUAGUGACCGAUAGUGAACCAGUACCGUGAGGGAAAGGUGAAAAGAACCGCUGGCGCGGAGUGAAAUAGAACCUGAAACCGUAUGCUUACAAAAAGUCAGAGCCCGUUAAAGGGUGAUGGCGUGCCUUUUGCAUAAUGAACCGGCGAGUUACUGAUAUUGUGCGAGGUUAAAUCGAGAAGAUGGAGCCGUAGCGAAAGCGAGUCUUAAUAGGGCGCUUUAGUACAAUGUCGUAGACCCGAAACGAAGUGAUCUAUCCAUGGGCAGGUUGAAGUUUGGGUGAAACCAAAUGGAGGACCGAACCCACUGAUGUUGAAAAAUCAGGGGAUGACCUGUGGAUAGGGGUGAAAAGCCAAACGAACUUCGAGAUAGCUGGUUCUCCCCGAAAUAGCUUUAGGGCUAGCGUCAAAAGGAUUCCGUUGGAGGUAGAGCACUGAAUGUAUGACGGCCACAUCUCGUGGUACUGAUUAUAAUCAAACUCCGAAUGCCAACGGGUAAAUAUUUGGCAGUCAGACUGUGGGUGAUAAUGUCCAUAGUCGAGAGGGAAACAGCCCAGACCGUCAGUUAAGGUCCCUAAAUUCAUGCUAAGUGGAAAAGGAGGUGGGGAUGCACAGACAGCUAGGAGGUUGGCUUAGAAGCAGCCAUCCUUUAAAGAGUGCGUAACAGCUCACUAGUCGAGUGCCCCUGCGCCGAAAAUGUACCGGGGCUAAGCAUGAUACCGAAACUACGGACUUAUAGAUUAAUCUAUGGGUGGUAGGGGAGCGUUCUAUACCGCGUUGAAGAUGUACCGUGAGGAGCGUUGGAGCGUAUAGAAGUGAGAAUGCCGGUGUGAGUAGCGAGAUGUCAGUGAGAAUCUGACACACCGAUUGCCUAAGGAUUCCAGGGGAAGGCUCGUCCUCCCUGGGUAAGUCGGGACCUAAGACGAGGCUGAAAAGCGUAGUCGAUGGCCAACAGGUUGAUAUUCCUGUACCCGAUCACAAGUGAAGGAAUGACAGAGAAGGCUAACUUAAGCGCACGAAUGGAAGAGUGCGUCCAAGCGGAAUAGUAGUAUGGUAGGCAAAUCCGCCAUAUAAUACGAGGCCGUGAUGGGGAGCGAACCCGUGAGGAAGUAGCGAAGUGAGCGAUGCCAGCUCUCAAGAAAAGUUUCUAGCGUUAAUUGUGAUACGGCCCGUACCAAAACCGACACAGGUAGGCAGGUAGAGAAUACCAAGGUGAGCGAGAGAACUGUUGUCAAGGAACUCGGCAAAAUGGCCCCGUAACUUCGGGAGAAGGGGCGCUCUUGAAAGAGAGCCGCAGUGAAAAGGCCCGAACGACUGUUUAUCUAAAACAUAGCUCUCUGCUAAGCCGCAAGGCGAUGUAUAGGGGGUGACGCCUGCCCGGUGCUGGAAGGUUAAGGGGACGUGUUAGACUUUGGUCGAAGCACAGAACUGAAGCCCCAGUGAACGGCGGCCGUAACUAUAACGGUCCUAAGGUAGCGAAAUUCCUUGUCGGGUAAGUUCCGACCCGCACGAAAGGCGCAACGAUUUGGGCGCUGUCUCGACAACAGACUCGGUGAAAUCUUAGUACCGGUGAUAAUGCCGGUUACCCGCAACUAGAAGGAAAGACCCCAUGGAGCUUUACUGUAGCUUGAUAUUGAGCUUUGAGUAUACAUGUACAGGAUAGGUGGGAGACGAAGAAGUGUGGACGCUAGUCUACAUGGAGUCACAACUGGGAUACCACUCUUGUAUACUUGAAGUUCUAACCGCGAUCCGUGAUCCGGAUUCGGGACAGUGUCAGGUGGGCAGUUUGACUGGGGCGGUCGCCUCCUAAAAAGUAACGGAGGCGCCCAAAGGUACACUCAGAUUGGUUGGAAAUCAAUCGACGAGCGUAAAGGCAGAAGUGUGCUUGACUGCGAGACCUACAAGUCGAGCAGGGACGAAAGUCGGGCUUAGUGAUCC
rnacentral:rRNA from 1 species